GACGUAGGGCGCGAGCGUUGUCCGGAUUUAUUGGGCGUAAAGAGCUCGUAGGUGGUUUGUCGCGUUGUUCGUGAAAACUCACAGCUUAACUGUGGGCGUGCGGGCGAUACGGGCAGACUUGAGUACUGCAGGGGAGACUGGAAUUCCUGGUGUAGCGGUGGAAUGCGCAGAUAUCAGGAGGAACACCGAUGGCGAAGGCAGAUCUCUGGGCCGUAACUGACGCUGAGGUGCGAAAGCGUGGGGAGCAAACAGG
rnacentral:rRNA from 1 species